GCACAGCCGCUGCAGAAACCUCCAUGGUAAAACAGCUCCGGCCGCAAGGACUGAGCCCAGACGCGGUCACAUAACCGUCUGCAGGCCCUGGGUGAGAUAUUAACUCUUUCAGUGCUUCCAUCCUCCCUUGAGUGAGAGAAAAGGACAAAGUGAAGGCACACAGAGGAGCAACAUGAAGACACAGAGGUCAGUGAAGAGUGUCACGAUCCAUCCUCACGAAUGGGUAUCAUAGUGGUUUGUUAAUUGAUCUCAGAGUGCAAAAAACUGACACAGCAAGAGGGGUUUGCAGUGAUAAUCAAAAGCAAAUGUACCUUUAUUGAAUGACCACAGCAAAAUGUGUUGGGGGGAACUGGGGAGAAAGGGAAAGAAUAAGGAAAAAGAGAGGAGAGAGAAAGGAAGGUAUAUAGCUACCAAACGUGGAACUAUAUAGUCCUUUGCAGUCCAGUCGACGGAGCUUGUCAUAGUCACAUCAGGGGAGAUCUCAGGGAUGCUAGUCAAUUCUAAUAUUUAUUAUAGUCUUUUUGACUGGGGGAAGGGGACACGUUUAAAAAUCAAAUCAAAUGUAAUAAAGAAUAGUCUAUUGAAGAAGGGUACAAAUAGUCCAUAUUUUCAGCAGUAGGUGAGAACCAUUGUCUUCUUGGUCCAGUGGUCACAACCUGCAGGCAAACAUCUUGGUUUGGUCAGCUUGCCUCCCCCUCACACCUUCCCCCGGUUAGAUGGUUUCGGUCUCAGUCCUUGGCAGGAAGGGAGAGCUUUUCCAUCAUGUCCCAGUCCUUGAGGGAGAGGCUUCUACCACCUCAGUAGAAGGGGUGGUAGAUGAAGGGUCUUCUGUGGCGACCACCGAAAGGUCACUCCAGAAAAGUCCAGCCAAGCUGGGAGGUGGGAAAAUUCCAGGAGCACUGUUGUCAAGUGAUACAGGUGAAGAGAAGGGCACAGUGCCCCUUUUCUCUUUUCAGUUGGUGCAGUGUUCCAUGGGGUGGGCAAACACACCUGUGAACAAUGACCUGGCAAGACACAAGCUUUGCUCAGGCUUCCGGGUCUUGGUGGGUGACAAUUCAGGCAGGACCAGGAUCCCAAAACAGGAUCCUUCUUUUUUUUGGUAGUCCCGCUUUCUGUCCUUUUCACAAUGAUCAUGAGGCAAAUGAGAGAAAUUUCAGACAGAGACUUACACGACCCCCUGACUCAUGAUUGUCUUGAAAGGAUCUUCAUCAGCAGAUUUCUGGAGCAUCAUUGUCUGUUCAACCCCUUUUGGGAAAAUUGACGGUCUAGGUGUGGCUGACAUGAAACUUCCUUCCACCUGGUACAGACUACACACAAGCUGCAGACUCCUCUGUCUUCAGAAUCCUGUCCAUGACACCAAUUUAAUGUCACAAGCCAUCCUUACAAACGGGUUUCGUGAUGGUUUGUUACUGAUCUCAGGGUGCAAAAAACUGACAUGACAAGGGGGUUUGCAGUGAUAGUCAAGAACAAAUGUACCUUUAUUGAAUGACCACAGCAAAAUGCAUUAGGGAGGGGGGAAUGAGGAAAAAGGGAAAGAAUAAGGAAAAAGAGGGGGGGAAAGAAAAGGAAACAUGGAGUGACAUAGUCCUUCAAAGUCCAGUUGACAAAGCUUGUCAUAUGUGUUGCCUUAUAAGGCGUGACGACCUGGUUCCAAGGAAACGCAGCACGACGACCCAAUGCUUUUUGGGCCGUUCGGGCUAAGGACACGCAGACAUCAAUAUGAUAGACGGUCCAAGAGCCCUUUAUUGGUUUUCUCCUCAGUAUAUAUACCCUUGGUCCUCCUACCUUCCGGGGUCUGACUUUUGCUUUAUAUGGUUAGUAAGGAAACUGGGUGGAGGCCGUGUUAGGGGGGAUUACAUUCUUGGCCUUUUGUCCUGCGGCUAUCUCUUAUCUCUAGGUAGUCAGGGGAGAGAGGCCCUAUCAGGUUUCCGUGACAGCCCGAAAUCUUCCGAUCGCCUGUCCCUAUUCUCUCUGCCACACGUAUGCACGUCAGGAGAGAUCUCAAAAUCUCUAGCUAACUCAGGGGUUUUUAUUAUGAUAACUCUAUUGAAAAUUGCAAAGGAGGGGGAAACAGAUACAAUAGUCCAUGUUCUCAGCAAUGGGAGAGAACCAUUGUCUUCUUGGUCCAGUGAUCAGCAAACAUCUUGGUUUGGUCAGCUUGCCUCCCCCACACACCUUCGCCCCUGUGUUAGGGUUUCAGUCUCAGUCCUUGGGAGGAAGGGGGAGCUCUUCCAUAUGGGGAUCUCAUGUCUCAGUCCUUGAGGGAGAGGCUUAUGCCAUCUCAGUACAUCUGUCACGGUGGUUGUACAGUAGAUGAAGGGUCUUCAGUGGAGACCACCGAAAAGGUCAUUCCAGGGAAAAGUCCAGCCAAGUCGGGAGGUGGGGAAAUUCCAGAACUAGUGUUAUAAAGUGAUGCAGGCAAAGAAGGGCACAGCGCCCCUUUUCCUUUCACUGGACUCCUUUUUCCUGGGAUCAAGGACUCCCUGGAACUCCCCUCUACCUCUCCACAUCCCUGCCCCCCCCAUUUCUGUGAUCCUGAGAUCCCCCUGCACCCCCAUUCCAGAGAACCCAGACGCCCUUUUACCCCUAUGUCCAGCACUGAGACCCCCCUGCACCCCCUUAUCCAGCACCAAUUCAACCUUUUCCCGGUCCCCUGCCUCUCCCAGCCCCAGCCCCACCUUCUUCUCUGACCUGGGACCCCUGGGCCCCCAUUCCUGCCUUUCCCAGCCCCCAGCCUCUCCCCUCCUCAUACUGAGGAGCCCUGGCACCCCCUUUCCUGGAUUCCCUGGACACCCCAUCCCAGUUCUCCCAGUCCUUGCAUCCCCUGUCCUUGACUCUGAGCCCCUGAGCCUCCUUCACAGAUCUGCCAGCUCUCCAUGUUCCCCCUUUCCUUGGACUGUGGACCCCCCUGGAUCCCCAAACUCUCACUUUCAGCCUCCCACCUCCCCCAAAUCUCCUUGUCCCCCCCUCCCCCCAGUUCUCCAGGAUAUUGGGAUAGCCAGAGCCGGGAUAUUGAGAUAGCCAAACCUUGGAUAUUGGGAUAGCCAGAGCUGGGAUAUUGGGAUAGCCAGAGCUGGGACAUUGGGAUAGCCAGAGCUGGGAUACUGGGAUAGCCAGAGCUGGGAUACUGGGAUAGAGAGAGCUGGCUCAAGGACAGGAACAGCCCUUUGGCCAACAGUGACCUGGAGACAGGGCCGGUACAACCAGAGUGGGGGGAGUGGGGGGAGCUGGGGGCUGAGCUGGGAUCUGUGGGAAUGGAGGACUGAGGAGCUGGGAUGUGAUCUCUGGGGAUGGGGGGAGUCUGUGGGGCUGGAAUGGAAAUCCAGGGAACUCCAAGGGGCUCUGUAGGACUGGGACACAACUCCAUGGGUCCAUUCUCUCCUCGUUCCCAGGUCUCCACGCGCUGCAGGUAGUUUCCACCUGUGACUUCCUGUCCAACAGAGCAUCCAUGGAUCCUACUGCAGCCACUGCCGUUUCCCGGAUCCUGC